rnacentral:tRNA from 5 species
CGGGGUGUAGUGAAUCGGUAUCACGCUGCGUUCGGGUCGCAGAAACAGAGAGUUCAAUUCUCUCCACCCCGACCG